GAUGAACGCUGGCGGCGUGCCUAAUACAUGCAAGUCGAGCGAACAGACGAGGAGCUUGCUCCUCUGACGUUAGCGGCGGACGGGUGAGUAACACGUGGAUAACCUACCUAUAAGACUGGGAUAACUUCGGGAAACCGGAGCUAAUACCGGAUAAUAUAUUGAACCGCAUGGUUCAAUAGUGAAAGACGGUUUUGCUGUCACUUAUAGAUGGAUCCGCACCGCAUUAGCUAGUUGGUAAGGUAACGGCUUACCAAGGCAACGAUGCGUAGCCGACCUGAGAGGGUGAACGGCCACACUGGAACUGAGAAACGGUCCAGACUCCUACGGGAGGCAGCAGUAGGGAAUCUUCCGCAAUGGGCGAAAGCCUGACGGAGCAACGCCGCGUGAGUGAUGAAGGUCUUCGGAUCGUAAAACUCUGUUAGUAGGGAAGAACAAAUGUGUAAGUAACUAUGCACGUCUUGACGGUACCGAAUCAGAAAGCCACGGCUAACUACGUG
rnacentral:rRNA from 1 species